CUUUUGGUGUUUGCAGUAAACGUAAUAGAAUGAAUUGCUGUCUGUACAGUCCUGUGCCAUGACAUCUAAAACGAAGGAAAUGGUAAAGCAGAGUGAGAACUCAAAGACUUCCACCGAGAGCUUUUGUCAACUUUAACUCAUUGUGCGCUUUUAGAGCUCAGUUUGGAUGUUUCAGAAGAACUCUCUGAGAGGCCCAUAAUUCUGCUUCUCCCGAUACUUGUAUAUUCGGCUGCUGCCACCGCGAUUGCCUGUUGAGCCGAGACAUUACACGUAAAUGAAUCAUUUUCAAAUUCCGGGAAACCCUAUUACAGGGCAUCUCUCUGCCAUCAAUGUAAUUACCUUUGUACACAGUACCCAAUGAAGAGAUAUCUGGAUAAAGGGAUGAGCAAGAGAAAAUGCCCUGCUGCAAAAUGAAGUUGUUGUAUGAGAGAAACAGCAAGAUGCAUAUUUGCAUCAAUAAAGAAGAAAGGCUAGAAACUACCCAACCAACUUUUGGUCGGAUUUUUCUGGAAGUAAUUUUUCCUAUCUUCUUAAGGUUUACAUGACUUAUGUCUUAAGUUAAUGUAAGCACUAACUUGAAGUCUUGUUUUCAAGAUUAUGCAUUAAAUAUGAACAUUUUAAAGUCUGGAUUUGCUGUGGGAGAGAAUGAGUCAAAUAAUAGCUUGACUAUAUUAUUAUAUAUAAAAAUAAUACACGAUAAAAAAUUUCAAUUAGCAAACUUAUUGAGCAUGUUUUCCUUCUUUUUCAGCCUUCAGACUAAGAACAAAACAAAUAUUACCUACCCUGAAUCUGUGCUGAAACCACAAAGGAGAGCAUCCUUGGAUCCCUCCAAGUAAUAAAAAUACCCUUUAAGAAGAAUUUGAACAAGAUUAACAUUACAGAUUGUAAACUUCAAGAAUAAUAAAGCAGUGGACUAUAGAAGAGCAAGUGUGGAAGCUGGGAGACCAGUUAAAUGACGAUGGUGAGAGAUGACAUGGCUAACCUCAGACAAUAACUGUGGAUAUGGAGAAAAGAGGAUGGAAGCAGAGUGGACAGGAAUUGCUGAUGGAGGGCACGGACCAUGUGACCCAUGCAGAACAUGCAGACUCUCAACAGGGUAAAGAUUGUGUCUUCUUUGUCUGCUUGGAGAAAAACCAAACACUUCUUCAGGUGCUACCUAUGACUGGCUUGCUGAAUGCAUCGUUUAAAAAGAUAUUUACCUUGACAACUUGAUUUAGUUGAGGACUGCCAAAUUUCUCCACUAUCAAGUUACUAGCUUUCUCUUCGUUGUUAAUAAGUAAGUAUCUUGGGGGAAGAUAACUUGAGACAUGUAAAACCAGUUUCUCCUGGAACUUUUGCCCAUGAAUUUUAGCAUCCAUAAGUGGAUCUUAUCUGCAAUAGUUGUUACUGUGGUGUUUGCUUACUGGUGACCCUCUAUAUCUCAGAAGCCAUUGUUAACAUAAGCAAUGUGGCUUUAGUAAUAUCAUUGACUCAUAUCAUCUUUAUCUGUUUCCAAGGAAACGGAGCUAAGAAGUCAACUGAAGGAGAACAGGAAACAGAAUAAUUGUUAACCUUUUGUCCACAGGCAUUUGAGGCUUUAUAGAGUACAGAGCAGAUUAUGAUACACAAAUGCAAGUAUAGGAGAAAGGGAGAAAUGGAGAGGAAUGAAAAGUUUCUAAUCUGGAACCCAGGGGACAGUGGAGAGAGAUGCAUCCAAUGUAUUUUUUCUGAUGGAAAAAAAUUGUAUUUCUAUAGUUUUUCUCUUUAUAGGAAUCAGUAACAAUCCUUGAAGUGAAGCAGGGGUUAGAAGGUAGGUGUGUGACUAGCACUGGCUACAGAAAUGUGAGAAGUGUUGCCUGGAACUUCCUUGCAGACACCUGAAAAGGGAGAAGGUGAGUCUUCCCUUCUUUCUGUUGCCUUAAAUUUGGAUAUUAGCACUCCAGCAAUCACCUUGGACCACGAAGUGACCUUCGGGCUGGAAGCCAGAAGCAACGGAUCAGGAAGACAGAAGAAUCUGGGUACUCAAUGACUUUGUGUAACAACUGUUCCAGUCCUAGAUGUCUACCCUGGGCUUCUAUUAAAUAAAAACAUAAAACCUGGGAGUUUAAGCUUCUGUGUUCAGGCUUCAGUUAUUAGCUGCUGAAUUUAAUGCCAAGCAACACUACAGUAAAAUUGAAUAAAUAUCUAUUUUAAUUGAUUGAUAUUAAUUUGAUUCAUACUAAAUUGUUAACUGUGAAUAAAGUUAUUCUUAGUAACAUCAUAUACAACAUUGAGACACAUUUUACAUCCUUCUUGUUCAUUUAUAUUUAUCAAAUUUUAUUUUAUUUUUCACAAUUAUUCCUAAUUUUAAAAAAUUAUCUUACUAUGUGCCUGACAUGUUACUGCACAGGUUGGUUUUCUCAGAAAGCAGUCUUUAUGAAAUGCAAAGGCUAUAAAAACAAUUCCCAAACUGGACAAUUUCAGUAUCAUAAUUAAUAUUAUUUUUCCAAAGAGAAAAAUAAAGCACAGUGCAACUAUGUCUUAAGUGGCAUUCAUGAGGAAGGUCAAAGCACAACAAAAUACCAGUUUUACUUGUAAGAGAAUUCCAUAGAUUAUACCCAUGAAUCCAGGGGUAGUAUUUUAAUAAUACUCAAACAAUUAUACUGUAUAUAGAUGUUCUAAGCGGUUUGUACACAAAUGGCUACAUUAAAACAAAUAAUUCUUCCCACUUGAAGUCUUCUAACCCCAAUACUACUUAAAUCUAUUUUAUAGCCUAGAAAUGAAAAAAAAUUCAAAUAAAUUAAGAAGACUACUUUAAUUACUAUCUAUUGAGGCUCAGUAAUUAUUAGUCAUAUUGAUUUAAUAUGCAAAUCUUAGAUAGCAAUUAUCAGACUCAUCUUCUGAAAGGAACAGGGUGCAAAAGCUAACAUUGAAAUUUAGCCAUUCAGUGACUUUUAGGAUGCAUCAAAUACUUAAAAACAUACAUUUUUAAAGCAGAAUUUUAUUUAGUGCCUUAAACUCAUUUCUGCUUUUCCAUGACUAAAUUUAAGGUAGAUAAUAAAAUAAACCUGUAUUAUAUCCAUUCCAGGCAUGAACAAUCUUAGUUUAUGUUGGCUUUAAUUUGGGGGUUAUUAUCUUGAGGCAUGGCAUUUUUAAGGGUGUGACAACCAAAAGUCUGUAAUGGGAACAAAUGUGAUUUAUUGUUUUCAUUUGGAAACUAACCUUAUAUACAGAGUGGUAAAUCUGGUUAAGAUUCUACAGAAGUUCUUUUCACAACAUUUUGAUCGUGACCCACAAUGCAAAUUAUUAAAUAUAUUUUACUCUGUGGCUGAGUACAUAUUUAUACAUAUCUGAAAAUAAAGUUUCACAAACAAUACUUUUCUUACCCUAAGUAUUGCUCCCUGAUGUUCUCUAUUCUAGUCUACCCAUUACAUUUGUUUGCAUGUAUGAUUAGAGCUAUACACCAAAACACACUAAUCCUAUUUAAAAACACUGCUCUAGAAUGAUUGGAGCUUAGAGGAAAUCUAAAUCAAACCUUUCAGUUCACAGAUAAAGAAACUGAAGUGUCAUCUAGAGGGUUAGAUACUUUGCCCAAGAUAACAGAGGUGUGUAUAGCAGAGCCAGAUUAGAAUUAAGGUCCGUUGGCUCCCUAGCCCAGUAUAGGAAAAAAGAUAACAACAUUAGGAAAGGGAUGUCUGUGUUUUUAAAAGUUCAAAAUGCAGAAGUGUAUGGCUUAGCAUAUGUACCUGUCACAAAGGUCUUGGCAUCUGAAUCACUGAAGUUUUUUUAUUGAUGACUCAUUUGGCUUUAUUUAGCAGACUUGACUUUAGAAAUUCAAUCAGGAGUAGUUUAUGUGGUAAACUGUCCUUGUAAUUAAAUAAAACAAUCCCUAGAAACUUAAUUGAAGAAUGCCUGCCCAUCAGGAACACCUAGAAGCCACGCUUUGUUGGUCUGUUUAAGCCAAAUUUCUGGCACACUGCUCUUUGAAAAUCAAAUUUAAAAUGACAGGCAAGUUGCUCUUAACUUCCUUAAAGGCAUGAACAAGUAAUUGCAAACCCUCUGAUAUAUAACAUGUCACAGAAAAGGCUCAUUUUAUCAAUAGCAACAUAAUCUGGGAAUUUCUAAAUUUUUAAUUUAGAUUUUACUCUAAUUAAAGGUAUGCAAAAAUAGGUGAGGGGAAGGGAAAUUAAACAAAUGCCUUGGAAAGGAAAUGCAUUUUGUUAGAAUUUUGUUAAAAUGUAAUGAGUCUAUAUGUCCUUAUAUUUUUUAUAGGGACCUGACCCUGUCUAUGUAUAAUGCAUUUUAUGAAGGUAAAUGAGAAGGUUCUUAAAUCCAUUAUCUUUUAUCCCAAUAUAUGAUAUCAAGCCGUUAUAUUUAAAUAAACAAAUUCAUUAAAAACAAAAAAGUUGUUUAUUGCAUCUAACCACUGCCUGUUCAAAAAGAAUGUUAAUUAUAUGCAAAUUUACCACUUCAAGAAGAGAAUUCAUGUAGUAUAAAAUCACCUUUAGGUAAAUAAUAUUUUUAAAUUAAAUCACCUCUAUGUAAUAAAAUGGUAGAAAAUAAAAUAAUUGAAAGCUUUAGUGCAGAAUAUGGCAUUUCUUCUGAAUUACUCUUUGGAAUUUAAGUGUAGUGUCUCGAGAGGCAGAAUAUUACAGUUGGGAAAUCACACAUCCAACAUUGGCUUUAUCACUGUUGCGUGAACUUGAGCAAGUGAUUUAACUUGCUCUGAGAUACUCAGGAACUAUGCAUCCCAUUUCACUGGUGAGGAAGUUACCUGACUAGCUUGUUAGAAAGAGGGUGUGAGUUAGGCAUGACAAGAACCUGGUAGGUUUAUUCUGCAGCAUUACAGCUUAAGAAAAAGAAGAAGAAAGCAAAUGGGAAACCAGUCUCCCUAAUGAAAAUAAGUAGAGAUAAAACCCCAACUAAUACAACUUGGGCAAGAAUAUAUUCUAAGAAAUUUUAUAAUUUAUAAUUAUUUAAGACAUAAUUUAUAAUGUAUAUUGAUUGUAUUUGACAUGAGCUUUCUUCCAAGAUAUGCAAUUUUAAUAUUGAUAUAUAUUAUUCGAAGGUCAAAUACAUAUGCAUUUUUACCAAAUAUUGUUUUCACAUUGAUUCAACCACUACUUUCACUGUUUUACUUUCCCUCUUUCAACUAUUACUGACUCUUGGUUUUCUCAUUUUCGUUUUAGUCAGGCUUCUAAUCUUUUAGAUUUGGUUCUCUAAUCACACAACCAGGUUUAUUCCUUGAGGUACAAAUGUAUACCAAGAAUAUGGUAGCUCUGUAUUUGUUUCAUAUUUUAUUUUUAUAACUGCAUUUAUUUGUAUUAUU